rnacentral:rRNA from 1 species
AUGGAGCUGAGAAUAGCUAAUAAGCGAGAAACCAGGGACCAGCAGCGGCGAAACUGUCGACAAGGCACAGGUGAUCGAGGAUGUGAGGAAGGUGACGCCUCCAAGAUCUGCAGCUACGCCCAGGGCAUGAACAUCAUCAAGGCCAAGAGCACGGAGAAAGGAUGGGCCUCAAUCUCAGCGAGCUGGCAAGGAUCUGGAAGGACGGGUGCAUCAUCCGCGCCAGCUUCCUGGACCGCAUCAAGAAGGCCUACGACAGGAACGGCGAGCUCGAGGACCAACCUCCUCAUCGACCCCGAGUUCGUGCAGGAGAUCAUGGACAGGCAAGCUGCGUGGAGGAGGGUCGUCUACCUCGCCAUCAACAAUGGCGUCAGCAUCCCCGGCAUGUCCGCGAGUCUGGCCUACUUCGACUCCUACCGGAGGGACAUGCUUCCCGCGAACCUCGUCCAGGCCCAGAGGGACUACUUCGGGGCGCACACCUAUGAGAGGGUCGACAUGCCUGGCUCCUUCCACACCGAGUGGUACAAGAUCGCCAACUCGAAGAUCUAA